UUCUAUGACGUUAGCGGCGGACGGGUGAGUAACACGUGGGCAACCUGCCUGUAAGACUGGGAUAACUUCGGGAAACCGAAGCUAAUACCGGAUAGGAUCUUCUCCUUCAUGGGAGAUGAUUGAAAGAUGGUUUCGGCUAUCACUUACAGAUGGGCCCGCGGUGCAUUAGCUAGUUGGUGAGGUAAUGGCUCACCAAGGCAACGAUGCAUAGCCGACCUGAGAGGGUGAUCGGCCACACUGGGACUGAGACACGGCCCAGACUCCUACGGGAGGCAGCAGUAGGGAAUCUUCCGCAAUGGACGAAAGUCUGACGGAGCAACGCCGCGUGAGUGAUGAAGGCUUUCGGGUCGUAAAACUCUGUUGUUAGGGAAGAACAAGUAUGAGAGUAACUGCUCGUACCUUGACGGUACCUAACCAGAAACACACGGCUAACUACGUGCCAGCAGCCGCGGUAAUACGUAGGUGGCAAGCGUUAUCCGGAAUUAUUGGGCGUAAAGCGCGCGCAGGCGGUUUCUUAAGUCUGAUGUGAAAGCCCACGGCUCAACCGUGGAGGGUCAUUGGAAACUGGGGAACUUGAGUGCAAAAGAGAAAAGCGGAAUUCCACGUGUAGCGGUGAAAUGCGUAGAGAUGUGGAGGAACACCAGUGGCGAAGGCGGCUUUUUGGUCUGUAACUGACGCUGAGGCGCGAAAGCGUGGGGAGCAAACAGGAUUAGAUACCCUGUACGUCCACGCCGUAAACGAUGAGUGCUAGUGGUAGAGGUCUCCCG
rnacentral:rRNA from 2 species